UACAGAGGGGGCAAGCGUUGUUCGGAAUUACUGGGCGUAAAGGGCGCGUAGGCGGCCCGCUAAGUCGAACGUGAAAUCCCCGAGCUCAACUCGGGAACUGCGUCCGAUACUGGCGGGCUUGAAUCCGGGAGAGGGAUGCGGAAUUCCAGGUGUAGCGGUGAAAUUCGUAGAUAUCAGGUGGAACACCAGUGGCGAAGGCGGCUUUCUGGACGGUAACUGACGCUGAGACGCGAAAGCCGUGGGGAGCAAACAGG
rnacentral:rRNA from 1 species